UACGUAGGGGGCAAGCGUUGUCCGGAAUCAUUGGGCGUAAAGAGCGUGUAGGCGGCUCGGCAAGUCCGCUCUGAAAGCCCGGGGCUCAACCCCGGGAGGCGGGCGGAUACUGUCGGGCUAGAGGCCGGAAGAGGCGAGUGGAAUUCCUGGUGUAGCGGUGAAAUGCGCAGAUAUCAGGAGGAACACCAAUGGCGAAGGCAGCUCGCUGGGACGGUACUGACGCUGAGACGCGAAAGCGUGGGGAGCAAACAGG
rnacentral:rRNA from 1 species